rnacentral:tRNA from 1 species
GCCCCCAUCGUCUAGUGGCCUAGGACACUGGAUUCUCAGUCCAGGAACCGGGGUUCGAGUCCCCGUGGGGGUG